GAAUGCUGACAUAAGUAACGAUAAAGCGGGUGAAAAGCCCGCUCGCCGGAAGACCAAGGGUUCCUGUCCAACGUUAAUCGGGGCAGGGUGAGUCGACCCCUAAGGCGAGGCCGAAAGGCGUAGUCGAUGGGAAACGGGUUAAUAUUCCCGUACUUGGUGUUACUGCGAAGGGGGGACGGAGAAGGCUAUGUUGGCCGGGCGACGGUUGUCCCGGUUUAAGCGUGUAGGUGUGUGUUCCAGGUAAAUCCGGUUCACUUUAACACUGAGGCGUGACGACGAGGCACUACGGUGCUGAAGCAACAAAUGCCCUGCUUCCAGGAAAAGCCUCUAAGCAUCAGGUAACAUCAAAUCGUACCCCAAACCGACACAGGUGGUCAGGUAGAGAAUACCAAGGCGCUUGAGAGAACUCGGGUGAAGGAACUAGGCAAAAUGGUGCCGUAACUUCGGGAGAAGGCACGCUGACACGUAGGUGAAGUGAUUUACUCAUGGAGCUGAAGUCAGUCGAAGAUACCAGCUGGCUGCAACUGUUUAUUAAAAACACAGCACUGUGCAAACACGAAAGUGGACGUAUACGGUGUGACGCCUGCCCGGUGCCGGAAGGUUAAUUGAUGGGGUCAGCGCAAGCGAAGCUCCUGAUCGAAGCCCCGGUAAACGGCGGCCGUAACUAUAACGGUCCUAAGGUAGCGAAAUUCCUUGUCGGGUAAGUUCCGACCUGCACGAAUGGCGUAAUGAUGGCCAGGCUGUCUCCACCCGAGACUCAGUGAAAUUGAACUCGCUGUGAAGAUGCAGUGUACCCGCGGCAAGACGGAAAGACCCCGUGAACCUUUACUAUAGCUUGACACUGAACAUUGAGCCUUGAUGUGUAGGAUAGGUGGGAGGCUUUGAAGUGUGGACGCCAGUCUGCAUGGAGCCGACCUUGAAAUACCACCCUUUAAUGUUUGAUGUUCUAACGUGGACCCGUUACCCGGGUUGCGGACAGUGUCUGGUGGGUAGUUUGACUGGGGCGGUCUCCUCCUAAAGAGUAACGGAGGAGCACGA
rnacentral:rRNA from 3 species